GCCAAACAGCUAGCUCAAACAUUUAGACAACCCUACAACAUUAAUGACAAAACAUCAUUUUAAUAAGUAAACUAAACCAUUCUUUUACCUGAGUAUGGGAGACAGAAAAGGUUAAACCUGUAGCAAUAGAGAAAGUACCGCAAGGGAAAGCUGAAAGAGAAAUGAAACAACCCAUUAAAGCAGAAAAAAGCAAAGACUAAACCCUGUACCUUUUGCAUCAUGAUUUAGCAAGCACCUCCAAGCAAAGAGUCCUUUAGUUUGGAACCCCGAAACCAAGUGAGCUACCCCGAGACAGCCUAAACAACUUAGGGCAAACCCGUCUCUGUGGCAAAAGAGUGGGAAGAACUCCGGGUAGAAGUGAUAGACCUACCGAACUUGGUGAUAGCUGGUUGCUUAAGAAAUGGAUAGAAGUUCAGCCUCAUAUUCCCUAAGCCAAAACAAUUUAUUACGAUACGACUAAGAGUAAAUUACGAGAGUUAGUUAAAGGGGGUACAGCCCCUUUAACAAAGGACACAACCUUAACAGGAGAAUAAAGAUCAUAAUUCACAAAACUCACUGUUUUAGUGGGCCCAAAGGCAGCCACCUAGAUAGAAAGCGUUAAAGCUCAGACAGACAAUAGUUUAUUAUACCGAUAAAAAAUCUUAUUUCCCUAGAAUUAUUAAGCUAAUCCAUGCCCCCAUGGAAGAAAUUAUGCUAAAAUGAGUAACAAGAAGGCCCGCCCUUCUCCCAGCACAAGUGUAAGUCAGAUCGGACAACCCACUGAAAACUAACGAACCCAAGCCAAGAGGGCAGUGCGAACAACAAAAAAAUCAAGAAGACCCCGCAAUUUAAACAUCGUUAACCCCACACUGGAGUGCACAUUAAGGGAAAGACUAAAAGAAGAGGAAGGAACUCGGCAAACACAAGCCUCGCCUGUUUACCAAAAACAUCGCCUCCUGCGACUUAUAUGUAUAGGAGGUCCAGCCUGCCCAGUGACUACGGGUUCAACGGCCGCGGUAUUUUGACCGUGCAAAGGUAGCGCAAUCACUUGUCUUUUAAAUAAAGACCUGUAUGAAUGGCCAAACGAGGGCUUAACUGUCUCCCCCUUCAAGUCAGUGAAAUUGAUCUAUCCGUGCAGAAGCGGGUAUAAAGAUACAAGACGAGAAGACCCUUUGGAGCUUAAGGUACAAAACUUAACUACGUUAAACAACUCAAUAAAAAGAUAAAAACUUAAUAGAACAUAAGAUUUUACCUUCGGUUGGGGCGACCACGGAGGAAAAAGAAGCCUCCAAGCGGAAAGGGCUAAUACCCUAAAACUAAGAGAUACAUCUCUAAGCCGCAGAACAUCUGACCAAUAAUGAUCCGGCAUAAAGCCGAUCAACGAACCAAGUUACCCUAGGGAUAACAGCGCAAUCCUCUCCCAGAGUCCAUAUCGACGAGGGGGUUUACGACCUCGAUGUUGGAUCAGGACAUCCUAAUGGUGCAGCCGCUAUUAAGGGUUCGUUUGUUCAACGAUUAAAGUCCUACGUGAUCUGAGUUCAGACCGGAGCAAUCCAGGUCAGUUUCUAUCUGUAACGCUACUUUUCCUAGUACGAAAGGAUCGGAAAAGGGGGGCCUAUGCUCAAAGCACGCCCCACCCCUAAUUAAUGAAAACAAAUAAAAUAAAUAAAGGGAGGGCCAAAACCCAACCUCCGAAAUAAGGACAU
rnacentral:rRNA from 1 species